rnacentral:lncRNA from 1 species
CCGAACCUUCCUUCGGCGGCCGAAACUGGAAUUGCCAGUAAGGCAGAACCCUGCUCUACUUCAUGCAAACCAACCCAAACUUCACUCAAACAUGCAACCAACAAAAUCACAACCUGCAUAUACUCAAGUAUAGGCACAAAGGGGUCCAAAACUAACUGAAAACCCCAACAAACAUCACAACUAAACACAUAAGCAUGCUUUGACCACAAAUCAACCAAACCUCAACUUACCCUAAACAUGCAUC